UACGUAGGGUGCGAGCGUUGUCCGGAAUUAUUGGGCGUAAAGAGCUCGUAGGCGGUGUGUCACGUCGGCCGUGAAAACCUGCAGCUUAACUGUGGGCGUGCGGUCGAUACGGGCAUCACUGGAGUUCGGCAGGGGAGACUGGAAUUCCUGGUGUAGCGGUGAAAUGCGCAGAUAUCAGGAGGAACACCGGUGGCGAAGGCGAGUCUCUGGGCCGAUACUGACGCUGAGGAGCGAAAGCGUGGGGAGCAAACAGG
rnacentral:rRNA from 1 species